GUGUCCGUAGCUUAAUGGAUAGAGCAUUGGGUUGCGAACCCAACGAUUGUGAGUUCGACCCUCACCGGGCACA
rnacentral:tRNA from 1 species